CCUAUAUAGUGCACUACUAUAGACCAGGGCCCUAUUCCCUAUAUAGUGCACCACUAUAGACCAGGGCCCUAUUCCCUAUAUAGUGCACUACUAUAGACCAGGGCCCUAUUCCCUAUAUAGUGCACUACUAUAGACCAGGGCCCUAUUCCCUAUAUAGUGCACCACUAUAGACCAGGGCCCUAUUCUCUAUAUAGUGCACCACUAUAGACCAGGGCCCUAUUCUCUAUAUAGUGCACCACUAUAGACCAGGGCCCUAUUCUCUAUAUAGUGCACUACUUUAGACCAGGGCCCUAUUCCCUAUAUAGUGCACUACUAUAGACCAGGGCCCUAUUCCCUAUAUAGUGCACCACUAUAGACCAGGGCCCUAUUCUCUAUAUAGUGCACCACUAUAGACCAGGGCCCUAUUCUCUAUAUAGUGCACUACUAUAGACCAGGGCCCUAUUCCCUAUAUAGUGCACUACUAUAGACCAGGGCCCUAUUCCCUAUAUAGUGCACUACUAUAGACCAGGGCCCUAUUCCCUAUAUAGUGCACCACUAUAGACCAGGGCCCUAUUCUCUAUAUAGAGCACUACAUUAUGGACACAGAUUCAUGUAACUAAGUUAUUACAAAUAAUAAAGACGUCAACUCGAGACAGGAAUGUGAGAUUAGUUAUUCCCCAAAUUUUCACUCAAUUUUGACAUCUAUUUAAACAGGUUUACUGUCAGUUAAACAAACGAUGUAGUCCAGCUAACAUCUCAUAUAUUAACUCAGAUCUCAUGUGGGAUGGCAGGGUAGCCUAGUGGUUAGAGUGUAGAGGUGGCAGGGUAGCCUAGUGGUUAGAGUGUAGAGGUGGCAGGGUAGCCUAGUGGUUAGAGUGUAGAGGUGGCAGGGUAGCCUAGUGGUUAGAGUGUAGAGGCUGCAGGGUAGCCUAGUGGUUAGAGUGUAGGGGCGGUAGGGUAACCUAGUGGUUAGAGUGUAUAGGCGGCAGGGUAGCCUAGUGGUUAGAGUGUAGAGGUGGCAGGGUAGCCUAGUGGUUAGAGUGUAGAGGCGGUAGGGUAGCCUAGUGGUUAGAGUGUAGAGAUGGUAGGGUAGCCUAGUGGUUAGAGUGUAGGGGAGGCAGGGUAGCCUAGUGGUUAGAGUGUAGAGGCUGCAGGGUAGCCCCUGAACAGGCAGUUAACCCACUGUUCCCA
ensembl:lncRNA